UGCGUGCGCGUGCACAUUCUGCCCUCGGGUGCCCGGCGGCGUGGAACCUACUCGCUGCCAACGGUUUAAAGGCGCUCCCCCAGCGACAGCGGAUUUCCACCAUACCACCAGCCGGAAAACACAGACUCGGCUUCAGCGGUAUUUCCUUGGGUUUUCGCUUUUAAGUCGACAGCAGCAACAAACCCCGGGCCUUACCGGGACAUUAGGGGCCGAGCUGAGGCCUCCAAGCCGGGGACUCGCUUGUGAUUUGAGGAGGGAAAGAGCGCGACGAGGAUCCGGCAGUGACUUGGAGGCGAUAUUUCCCCUUUCGUCCCCUCCCGCUGCUGCCAGAAGCAAGAAAACUUGUGGUGGUGUGAGAUUUCGGCAUGUCAAACAGCGCAAUCCCCCCGCGAUGGCUGAAUUGUCCCAGGAGAGGACAGCCGGUGGCAGGGAAGUUUUUGCCGCUGAAGACCAUGUUAGGAGCGAGGUAUGAUGAUCAAGUUCCUGAAGAAAAUCGAUUCCAUCCCAGUAUGCUUUCAAAUUAUCUAAGGAGUUUGAAGGUGAAUAUGGGACUUUUAGUUGAUUUAACGAACACAAGCAGGUUUUAUGACCGGGCUGAAAUAGAGAAAGAGGGAAUUAAAUAUGUUAAACUACAGUGCAAAGGACAUGCUGAGUGUCCCACCGAAGAAGUAACAAACAUGUUCAUUCGUUUGUGUGAGCACUUCAUAAUGCAGCACCCCAUGGAAUUAAUAGGAGUACACUGUACACAUGGCUUCAAUCGAACUGGGUUCCUCAUUUGUGCUUACUUGGUGGAGAAGAUGGAUUGGAGCAUUGAAGCAGCUGUUGCUACUUUUGCUCAGGCAAGACCUCCUGGCAUUUAUAAAGGGGAAUACCUGCAAGAGCUCUUCAGCCGCUAUGGUGAGGUUGAAGAUGCUCCUCCUCCACCAGAAAGACCAGAUUGGUGCUUUGAGGAUGAUGAUGAAAAUGUUGAUGAUGAUGGUUGUAGGAUUAGUAAAGACUCAGAACCUGGCUCUUCAGGCUACAACUCAUGCAAAAGGAGAAAGGAGCGAAUUAAGUUGGGAGCAAUUUUUCUGGAAGGCAUGCUAGUUAAAGGAGUGACACAAGUCACAAUCCCAUCCAAGUUAUCAGAGAUCCAAAGGAAAUGUCAACAGUACUGUGGAUGGGAAAGGGCAGGAUUUCCGGGAGCACAGCCUGUUUCCAUGGACAAACAGAAUAUCAAAUUUCUCGAACAAAAGCCAUAUAAAGUCAGCUGGAAAGCAGAUGGGGUACGGUAUAUGAUGCUUAUUGAUGGCAAGGAUGAAGUAUACAUGAUUGACAGAGACAAUUCAGCAUUUCAUGUAGCAAACCUGGAGUUUCCUGUUCGGAAAGAUCUGCGUCUUCAUUUGACAAGCACUCUUUUGGAUGGGGAAAUGAUCAUUGACAAAGUAGAUGGAAAACCUGUUCCUCGGUACUUGAUUUAUGACAUAGUAAAGUUUAGUGGAAAACCAGUUGGCGACUGUGAUUUUAAUGUUCGAUUGAGCUGUAUUGAAAAGGAGAUAAUACAGCCACGGCAUGAAAAAAUGAAGAGUGGGCGGAUUGACAAAACAAGGGAACCGUUCAGUGUUAGAAACAAGCCAUUCUUUGACAUUAAUGCUGCAAGAAAGCUGCUGGAAGGAAGUUUUGCUCGUGAAGUCAGCCAUGAAGUGGAUGGACUAAUUUUUCAACCAACUGGGAAAUACAAACCUGGUCGAUGUGAUGAUAUACUGAAGUGGAAGCCUCCAAGCCAAAAUUCUGUUGACUUUCGUUUGAAAAUAACUAAAUUUGGAGGAGAAGGCUUACUGACACAGACUGUUGGACUACUAUAUGUUGGCAAUUAUGAACGCCCUUUUGCCCAGAUGAAGGUAAACAAAGAACUGAAAAUGUAUGACAACAAGAUCAUUGAAUGCAAGUUUGAAAACAACAGCUGGGUUAUAAUGCGUGAAAGAGUAGACAAGAGCUUCCCAAAUUCCUAUGACACAGCUAUGGCUGUUUGUGGCAGUAUCAAUAAUCCAGUUACAAAGGAAUUCCUGUUUGAGUUCAUUGAACGGAGUCAGAUGCAAUCCCAAAGAGAGCCAAGGAAAAGGUCUCUGGAUAUGGACUCUGAACUAAUGCCGCCGCCACCUCCAAAGCGACCAAAUCAUGCUUUAGAUGACUAUUUUCAUUCUGCGAGUUGCGACACUGCAUAUCUUUCACAUGCAUGGAGAAAGACAUGGAAGAUAGGGACCUUGGAGUAAUAAAUUUUGAAGUCUUGAAAACAGUCCACAUGACAGAAGAGGAGGUGCUGGAGGUCUUAAAAAGCAGAAAGGACCACUUCCAGUUGAGAAGCAAUGGAGUAGAUGAGUGAUUGAGUGAGCGUUGCCAGGCGGAAUUUGGAGCAUUGGAGGAGAAGAAAACGUUUCCAUGAAAUUAUGAGCAGUUAGGUGAGGAAUAGUGUAUUUGUGAACCUAGUGCCGAAGAGAGAGAGUACUGCGUUGAAAUCAGAAAAAUGCUUGGUGGACAUCAAAUAUAAGAACGUGACUGUUGGGACAAUAUUUGCCAAAUGAUUGUCUGGUUGCUCUGUUUAAAAAUCAAUAUGAGACUUAGAUUGUUAAUCUUGGGGGGUGUGGGGGGAGAAAAAAAACAAAAAUUU